UGCAGGCUUUGGUGCAGAUAUGCUCUAUCUCUUCUACUUGCUUUUCUUGACAGCCUUGUGAACAACAGCUGUGUUAUGGGGUGCAAACCGGGCAUGUACUUGAUCAAGGAACCAGUGCGAUGUGAAGGAUGCCGCUCAAACUGCCGGACAUGUACAGGGCCAAGCCGAAAGAAUGUACGCAGUGUGGCUAGAAAACAGCCAUUUGCAUGAGUGGAAAUGUGUCCCCGCAUGUGGUGAGGGCUUUUACCCUGAUGAGAUGUUUGGACUCCCGCACAAAGUCUGCAGAAGAUGUGAAGACAACUGUUUAAGUUGUGAUAGCUCUGGGAGGAAACUGUCCUCAGGUGUAAAGAAGGCUAUAACCUGCUUAGUGGCUCUUGAUUGCAAGUGACAGAUGCCAACAAUGGUAAGUACGUGCAU